CUGUCACAGCACCUGGUACAAGAGACAAAGAUGCUACACUCCCCUUCAGCGGGGUCCCUGGUACAUCUGCCAGGAUUUAUCAUUAUCUAAAACAUCCUUGUCACCACCAUGUAUCCCCUUUCAGCCUCUGUGUUUUGGGAAAGGACCCUUGUCAGUUUUCCUGGCACCUGCCAACAGCUGCACACCUGGCAUGUGAAUGGCACUGGAAUGUGCUGUGAUUGUUUCCCUCUUUAAUGAACCCACCUGAGGGGCAUUAAGCUUUUUCUCCAGUAGCCUAGUUCCCAGGCAUUCCCAGUUAUUCUGCUUGUGUGGAGAUCCAAAAACUCUGCCAUCACAAUGAACUAAUCCAUCUGCCAGACGUCUCAUAACCAAAUCUGCAGGACUCCCAAAGGAGAUUUUGGCACCAGUAAUUUAAGCUAAUGAUUUCUAAACAUAUUUAGUCAGUUUUAUGAAGACCUCAUUAGAAUGUGACUGUUUAUUAAAAAUCCAAAUGAGGUCUCACAGUCAUUUAGGAAAAUUAUUGUUGAGUCACCAUGAAUAGUUCUGACAAAAGAUGAUAAAAUGUUUUAUAGUUAAGGGAAUUAGGGACCAGAAAUGUUAACCUCUGUCACAGUUGAGGAGGGAGUGGAUGCUUCAAAGAAUAUUAUCUGCCCAAGGAAGCUAACCUAAAAUUGCUUUAACAAUAUUUCUCACUAAAAGAAAAAAGCUAGACAUAAACACUAGACAUAAAAGUCAUCUUUCUAAAUCACACACAGGGAAGGUAUACUAAGAUUCCAGGUGCCCCUAUUACAUGCAACAAAGAACAUCUGCUUUUCUGCAGUAGCCUCCAAAUCUAGAACCAAUGAGAGACGCAAGAGAGAGCAAGGUUGCCCUUUUAUAAAAUGUGGAAAUAUUACUUAACAAUGAUAAUUACUUAAGUCAUGCCUACCAGUACAAAAAUGCAUUAAUACUUUUUAACUACAAAAUAUCUCUACUUGUUUCAAGACAUCAAACUUAUCUAUGAAAGAGAAGGGCCUAAUUGUUUCUGUAGACAUUGUUGAAAUUCUCCUUUCUUGAACUCCC
rnacentral:lncRNA from 1 species